UGGAGUACGCGGGCUUUUGCCGAGUUUCGGUCACUCUCUCCUCGGCUCUCUGGUCCUCGGGUUCACUUGCGUUGGAGGACAACCCCUCGCUGUCCUGGGAGCCCGGCUACAGAGAGUGAAGGUGCCUGGGGCUCAUGUGGCCACAUUUCUCCGUUCCCUCCUGCGUCCAUCCAGGUUUUGAAUGGAAAUAAAGCAGAAAGCAGCUGGAUAUGCCAAACCAGGCCUCAUGGCAGAGACUCAUGCUUUCUCCCAGCAUCUGCCAGGAUCUUCUCAACGCACAGAAAUCAGAAUCCAGUCUCCUCCUAUGCCAUCACUGCCGUCAACACCUCCAGGACUUUCUCAACUAGACAUCUCUUCAUCCUCAAGCCCAUAGCACUUGUGGGACAUCUGGCGAAAUAUUGUCACGUUCGGUCUUGGCUCAGUCGUUUUACUCACUCUUUGUGGAAAGCAACUAUAUUUUGGUUUUCAUUUAUAGUCUCUGCUGCCUCCCAGGCAGUCUCGCCCAAAGCAAGUACCCAGUUCAUGUCUGUUUGAAUUGUUAAACCUUGCCUCCCUUCCUCCCAGCUGCUGCAGCAUUGAUUGUUGGCAAAGUGCAGCAACGCAGUUUGGCCUGCUCAGAUGCUGUGGGCUGCUUAUAUAUAGCUGCUUACUAGAAUGCCAGGGCUUUUUUUUUUUUUCCUCUCCUAGCAAUUUCCUAUAAAUAGAAACUCACUUUGUGACGUCCAUGUUAGAGUUGGGGCGUAUCUGAUCUUAAUAGUGACAAAAAUAAUAAA